CCUACGGGAGGCAGCAGUGGGGAAUUUUGGACAAUGGGCGCAAGCCUGAUCCAGCAAUGCCGCGUGCAGGAUGAAGGCCUUCGGGUUGUAAACUGCUUUUGUACGGAACGAAACGGCGAGCUCUAAUAAAGUUCGCUAAUGACGGUACCGUAAGAAUAAGCACCGGCUAACUACGUGCCAGCAGCCGCGGUAAUACGUAGGGUGCAAGCGUUAAUCGGAAUUACUGGGCGUAAAGCGUGCGCAGGCGGUGAUGUAAGACAGAUGUGAAAUCCCCGGGCUCAACCUGGGACCUGCAUUUGUGACUGCAUCGCUAGAGUACGGUAGAGGGGGAUGGAAUUCCGCGUGUAGCAGUGAAAUGCGUAGAUAUGCGGAGGAACACCGAUGGCGAAGGCAAUCCCCUGGACCUGUACUGACGCUCAUGCACGAAAGCGUGGGGAGCAAACAGGAUUAGAUACCCUGGUAGUCCACGCCCUAAACGAUGUCAACUGGUUGUUGGGUCUUCACUGACUCAGUAACGAAGCUAACGCGUGAAGUUGACCGCCUGGGGAGUACGGCCGCAAGGUUGAAACUCAAAUGAAUUGACGG
rnacentral:rRNA from 1 species